rnacentral:rRNA from 1 species
CCCAGACUCCUACGGGAGGCAGCAGUGGGGAAUAUUGCACAAUGGGGGAAACCCUGAUGCAGCGACGCCGCGUGAGUGAAGAAGUAAUUCGUUAUGUAAAGCUCUAUCAGCAGGGAAGAAAAUGACGGUACCUGAGUAAGAAGCCCCGGCUAACUACGUGCCAGCAGCCGCGGCAAUACGUAGGGGGCAAGCGUUAUCCGGAUUUACUGGGUGUAAAGGGAGCGUAGACGGCUGCGCAAGUCAGAAGUGAAAGCCCGGGGCUCAACCGCGGGACUGCUUUUGAAACUGUGUAGCUAGAGUGCAGGAGAGGUAAGUGGAAUUCCUAGUGUAGCGGUGAAAUGCGUAGAUAUUAGGAGGAACACCGGUGGCGAAGGCGGCUUACUGGACUGUAACUGACGUUGAGGCUCGAAAGCGUGGGGAGCAAACAGGAUUAGAUACCCUUGUUC